GUAGCAAUACAUUGGUGGCGACCGGCGCACGGGUGAGUAACGCGUAUGCAACCUACCUAUCAGAGGGGAAUAACCCGGCGAAAGUCGGACUAAUACCGCAUAAAACAGGGGUUCCACAUGGAAAUAUUUGUUAAAGAAUUAUCGCUGAUAGAUGGGCAUGCGUUCCAUUAGAUAGUUGGUGAGGUAACGGCUCACCAAGUCCACGAUGGAUAGGGGUUCUGAGAGGAAGGUCCCCCACACUGGUACUGAGACACGGACCAGACUCCUACGGGAGGCAGCAGUGAGGAAUAUUGGUCAAUGGGCGAGAGCCUGAACCAGCCAAGUCGCGUGAAGGAUGAAGGAUCUAUGGUUUGUAACUUCUUUUAUAUGGGAAUAACGUGAGGAACGUGUUCCUUUUUGUAUGUACCAUAUGAAUAAGCAUCGGCUAACUCCGUGCCAGCAGCCCGCGGUAAUACGGAGGAUGCGAGCGUUAUCCGGAUUUAUUGGGUUUAAAGGGUGCGUAGGUGGUUAAUUAAGUCAGCGGUGAAAGUUUGUGGCUCAACCAUAAAAUUGCCGUUGAAACUGGUUGACUUGAGUAUAUUUGAGGUAGGCGGAAUGCGUGGUGUAGCGGUGAAAUGCAUAGAUAUCACGCA
rnacentral:rRNA from 1 species